GACGUUGUAGCUAAGCUGACGAGCGUCACCUUGGGUGUUCUGUCUGUUUUUCUCCUAAUUCUCAUCAUUGGUUUGGUUGUUCAAAACAGGAAACUUAAGCAAGCUUUUAAAGAACAACAAAAUCUGGACCAAAGUGAGAGUCGAGACAAUGAUGACUUGAACUAUGCUACAGUAACGUUUCAGCCGAAAGCAAAAAGAAACCAAAUGGAGUCAAAUGUGAUCUAUGCUGCUACGAGAUAGUCUCUAGUUUUUCUGCUUUUAUAGUGGCACUUUUUUGGUGCAAGGUUUAAACACAACUGAGAUGAAAAUCCUGACACCUGUUAAGUUGCAUCUUUCUUGUUACAGAAUCUCUAAUGAAACAGUAUUAAUUGGUACCAUAUGGUAAAAGUAAAUAUGGUACCAAUUAAUACAAACACAUGUGAACCGAUGAGGUAACACACAGCACUGUGUUUGAGUUAGAUAUAUAUCUGUGUUCAUGACUGGAAAGAUUUAAUGCUGUCUUAUAUAGUUUGACUCAUACACUUAGUUUGUUUAUACCUAGCUUGUUAAAAAAAUUAUCUUUCUAUUUUUGCUUAAAAAGUUUAAACAUGCUAUGUUUCUGUGUUCUGUUGCAAAUA